UACUCAGCUGGGCCAGAGCGCUUUAAUUAGGUCAGGUGGCAAUGACCGACAGAUCUCAUCCACAUAAAAGGAGGAAAACGGCAUCGCCUGAUCUCGCUGCUUUCUCUUCCUUAACUCCGUCUGCUCCAGAAGUUCUGUGCGUCCAUGAAUCCACCACAGACUACUCAGUAAAUAUACCACUUUAUGGUUAAAGGAA